UACUCGAGUGGCGAACGGGUGAGUAACACGUGGGUGAUCUGCCCUGCACUUCGGGAUAAGCCUGGGAAACUGGGUCUAAUACCGGAUAGGACGAUGGUUUGGAUGCCAUUGUUGAAAGUUUUUCGGUGUGGGAUGAGCUCGCGGCCUAUCAGCUUGUUGGUGGGGUAAUGGCCUACCAAGGCGUCGACGGGUAGCCGGCCUGAGAGGGUGUACGGCCACAUUGGGACUGAUAUACGGCCCAG
rnacentral:rRNA from 1 species